rnacentral:rRNA from 1 species
AACCAUGGCUCUCACGGGUAACGGAGGAUUAGGGUUCGAUUCCGGAGAGGGAGCCUGAGAAACGGCUACCACAUCUAAGGAAGGCAGCAGGCGCGUAAAUUACCCAAUCCUGACUCAGGGAGGUAGUGACAAGAAAUAACAACCUGGGGGCCUUCAACGGCCUUACGGGAUUGCAAUGAGCGCAAUUUAAACCCCUCAGCGAGGAACAAUUGGAGGGCAAGUCUGGUGCCAGCAGCCGCGGUAAUUCCAGCUCCAAUAGCGUAUAUUAAAGUUGUUGCAGUUAAGAAGCUCGUAGUUGAACUUCUGGCCGUCCCUAGUUUCCCCGGCUCCGGUCGGGCUAGGGGCGGCCAUCCGUCUGCGAACCAUUCUCGGCCUUCACUGUGCUCGGUUUGGGGAGCAGGCACUUUACUUUGAAAAAAUUAGAGUGUUUCAGGCAGGCAAUCGCCCGGAUACGUUAGCAUGGAAUAAUGGAAUAGGACUCCUCUCGUCCGUAUUCGUUGGUUUGGGGACAGGAGUAAUGAUUAAUAGGGAUAGUUGGGGGCAUUAGUACUUAACUGUCAGAGGUGAAAUUCUCGGAUUUGUUAAAGACUAACUUAUGCGAAAGCAUUUGCCAAGGAUGUUUUCA